rnacentral:misc_RNA from 1 species
GUACGCCGCUCGCCCGACAUCUUGCCUUCUCGCGCCGCCUCGUCGACCUCAUCAAUUACCGUGCGUUUCCUCCUCAACCCGGCUUGCACACAGCGUGGGGCGGGACUGAGCGCGUGUGAUGGUUGUGCGUGUGACCCGUGGGUGACUGCGCGCUAGUGGACUGCCGAGAAAGCGGGAAACGGGCGCAAGAGUUCGACAGCUCCCCCUUGCGCCAGGACUCGAUGAGCGGAUGCGGGAGUCGCUGGAGGACCAGCGCUUGGGCAGCGUGUGUAGAGGACAGUACUGACGUCGCUCGCCUACCCUCUUGCAAAAGGAGUCGCCGCUCAGCGACGACAUUCUCUUGUUCACAGGCGCCUCUAGAAUGUGCGCAGCCGGCUUGCCUCGCCCUGCAAGACCUUUCGCCUGAACCUCUUCCAA